rnacentral:lncRNA from 1 species
GAGGCAGGCAGGCCAGCCAACGAGAGGCAUGGAGAAGGGCUGGUUAGAGGCAGGCCAGUGAGAAACAAGAAGGGGAAAUAGAAGGAAGCCAAGGACAGAAAUCUCAGGUGUCAGCACAUCCAGAGUGCAACAGACAAGUCUUAUCCUGGGAAAACCACCUUCAUGAUCACAGUAUCACCCCUACCAGGUUAGAACACUCAAUGGACACUUCUUCUCAGCGUGCUGAUCAGUUAUGAGUUUCUGCAUCAACUGCCACCCUCUGAAAAUGCUUCCUGGAGGACAAUGAAAUGGCUCAGCAGUUGCUGUUUUCACAGAGAACUACAGCGGCAGCCAGCGAACCCUGGAGUUCCCGAGGCAGCAUUUGCAAAAGUUAACUCUUGGCGCCCAGACAGGCACACACGUGUGGACUCUUGCCACUGAUGACCCAGGC